AGCGAACGCUGGCGGCAGGCUUAAUACAUGCAAGUCGAGCGCCUGUAGCAAUACAGGAGCGGCAGACGGGAGAGUAACACGUGGGAACGUGCCCUUUGGUUCGGAACAACACAGGGAAACUUGUGCUAAUACCGGAUAAGCCCUUACGGGGAAAGAUUUAUCGCCAAAGGAUCGGCCCGCGUCUGAUUAGCUAGUUGGUGGGGUAAUGGCCCAACAAGGCGACGAUCAGUAGCUGGUCUGAGAGGAUGAUCAGCCUCAUUGGGACUGAGACACGGCCCAAACUCCUACGGGAGGCAGCAGUAGGGAAUAUUGGACAAUGGGGGCAACCCUGAUCCAGCCAUGCCGCGUGAGUGAUGAAGGCCUUAGGGUUGUAAGGCUCUUUCGGCGGGGAAGAUAAUGACGGUACCCGCAUAAGAAGCCCCGGCUAACUUCGUGCCAGCCGCCGCCGUAAAAC
rnacentral:rRNA from 1 species